CUCUUGAUUUAGCUUAGGAUCGAUGUUUACAUCAGAUGUUUUAGAUUUGUUUAGAUACUUGGAUGUGUCAGUUUCUGAUUGGCUGAGGGAAAAAGAAAAACAAAGUUAUAUUUAUUUGUUUUGUUAUACGAUUCUCUCUCUCGUCUAUCCGCAACAAUCUCCGCAGCAAUUUCUCAUGGAAUUCUUCGAUUGUCCGCAACAAUCGUCUCUCUCUCUUGGAUUCCAUCGCGAUUUACUCGGCAUUCCGCGAGCUACUCCGUUUCGGCAGAGUUUGAAUUCUGGGAAUCCAAUUCUAAAGAGCUAUGAUAUUAUUGCUGUUAGGCCGAUGAAUCAGAAAGCCUUCGAUUAUGCUUGUGAGAAAGCUGAGAUUUGUACUUCUAUUUCCCCCAAUUGAGAUUUUCUGACAAGAUGUUACUCGUGGAUUGGACUAGGGGGAAGAAUCUGAUUAUAUCCAAGUGGUGCUCCUUCAGUCACAGAAAUUUAAUUCUGGCAUGGUUUGUGAUUUUUGUGUUCAGAUUGAUAUCUUGAAGCGAUUACAGAGAGUGAUGAAACUUAGAGAUAAACAAGAGAAAGUGGAGCGGAUUUGAUGAAACUUAGAGAUCCAUCUUCUGUUGCAGGUACAAUCAUCUCUAACCUCGCAGAUGUGGUUCUUUCGUCUCUCUACAACAACAAAGCCAAGAAUGUGCUGCAGGCUGUGAGUAACAUUGGGUUUGUUGCUGAACUAGUGAUGAGUGGAACGACCCAUUGACGGCAAAAAGCUUGAAGCUUUCUUCACAUCUGAUGCAUGGUUUGGUUCAUUGCAAUGGUUUUGGUCAUUUGCUCUGUAUCUCUAUACAUUGUUUAGUGAUUUUGAGAUUGAAUCACAUAAAAUUUGACACUAUUAUAAACUUUUUGUUUUUGUUUUUCUUUGGUAAACCAAGAUUGAAUUUGAGUAUUUCUUUUUGAGAACCCCAAA